CCUACGGGAGGCAGCAGUAAGGAAUAUUGGACAAUGCUCGCAAGAGUGAUCCAGCCAUGCCGCGUGCAGGAAGAAUGCCCUAUGGGUAGUAAACUGCUUUUGAACUAGAGAAAACCCCAGUACGUGUACUGGGCUGAUAGUAUAGUUAGAAUAAGCAUCGGCUAACUUCGUGCCAGCAGCCGCGGUAAGACGAAGGAUGCAAGCGUUAUCCGGAUUCAUUGGGUUUAAAGGGAGCGUAGGUGGACUGAUAAGUCAGUGGUGAAAUCUCCGAGCUUAACUCGGAAAUUGCCAUUGAUACUGUUGGUCUUGAGUACAGUUGCUGUGGGCGGAAUAUGACAUGUAGUGGUGAAAUACAUAGAGAUGUCAUAGAACACCGAUUGCGAAGGCAGCUCACAAAGCUGUAACUGACACUGAGGCUCGAAAGUGCGGGGAUCAAACAGGAUUUAGAUACCCUGGUAGUCCGCACCGUAAACGAUGAUUACUCUCUGCGUAGGGCGACCGUUACGUUAGUCGUAGACGAAGACGAGAAGUAAUACACCGUACGGUAGGUACGCCGGCGACGGUACGAACGUACGAAUAGAGUUAGUUAGACGNGAGAGNGCGACGGACGACGACGAGGGAGGAGGAG
rnacentral:rRNA from 1 species